rnacentral:RNase_P_RNA from 1 species
CAGGCUGGCUGAGUGGUCGCGGCCCUGGUUUUCAGGGUCGAGGAAAGUCCGCACUCCACAGAGCACUUUGCCGGGUAACUCCCGGGGUGGGGCAACCUGCCGGAUAGGGCCACAGAAACAUACCGCUGGAUUCCGGUAAGGGUGAAAUGGUGGUGUAAGAGACCACCGGUGUCCUCAGUAAUGAGAACAGCCAGGCAACCCCCAAAGGGAGCAAGGCCAAGCAGGGACGGUAGAUUGCUCGUCUCAUGACCUCAGCAAUGAGGUCGAAGUCCCGGGUAGGCUGCUUGAGCUGUAUGGAGACAUGCAGCCCAGAUAGAUGACCAUUCAGGCGGUUCCCACCGCCAGACAGAAUGCGGCUUAUAGGCUAGCCUGUGGG